GUAGUCAUAUGCUUGUCUCAAAGAUUAAGCCAUGCAUGUCUAAGUAUAAGCAAUUUGUACAGUGAAACUGCGAAUGGCUCAUUAAAUCAGUUAUCGUUUAUUUGAUAGUACCUUACUACUUGGAUAACCGUGGUAAUUCUAGAGCUAAUACAUGCUAAAAACCUCGACUUCGGAAGGGGUGUAUUUAUUAGAUUAAAAACCAAUGCCCUUCGGGGCUCACUGGUGAUUCAUAAUAACUUCUCGAAUCGCACGGCCUUGCGCCGGCGAUGGUUCAUUCAAAUUUCUGCCCUAUCAACUUUCGACGGCUGGGUCUUGGCCAGCCGUGGUGACAACGGGUAACGGGGAAU
rnacentral:rRNA from 1 species